rnacentral:rRNA from 1 species
GACGAACGCUGGCGGCGUGCUUAACACAUGCAAGUCGAACGGUGAACCUCUUUCGGGAGGGGAUCAGUGGCGAACGGGUGAGUAACACGUGGGCAACCUGCCCCCGGCUCUGGGAUAACUCCAAGAAAUUGGGGCUAAUACCGGAUAUGACCGCUGGCCGCAUGGUCUGGUGGUGGAAAGAUUUAUCGGCUGGGGAUGGGCCCGCGGCCUAUCAGCUUGUUGGUGGGGUAGUGGCCUACCAAGGCGACGACGGUAGCCGGCCUGAGAGGGUGACCGGCCACACUGGGACUGA